CCCAGGGCGAGCCUGGAGAAUCAAAAUAUAAAGGAAACAGUAAAGAUCCUCAAUUGGUUUUGGCAUUUGUACUUUGUGUUCUUCGCAGAAUCCUUUGAUGGGUUUUAUUCCAUAGUUCUUCCAUUUUAGUUUGGCUUUUUCUUUGGUGAGUUUUGGUGUUUUUGUUGGGGGUAUUUCUGCAAUGUUGAGAGGGACUUUUGCAUUUUUAGUGUUUCUCUUAUGUAACAUGACUUUUCUUGCUUGUGUUAUGGCAUGAUUCUUCAUUGUGCUGUUUUCUUGGCAUUUUUUGUGCAUUUUUGGCUUUUUUUCGUGAAAUCAGUUUAUAAUUUUUUUAUUUUUUAUUUUUUACUUCUAGUUUGUCUUCUGCAGUUUUGCAAAUAAUAUAGAUUUUUUAAUUUUUCACAUUUGUUUUCAUUUGGGUUUUUUUGGGGUGGAGCUUUUCUGCUGGAAUUCUAGAAGGGAGGGUUUACUACUAUUUGUACUUCAUUUUCUGCAUUUUGGAACUUAUAUUUCUCAUUGCAUUUUCCUUUCCUGUUUAAAGAUAUUAGAAAUCUUUUCCCCUUUUAGUUAUAUAUAUAUAAUAUAUAUAUAUGGAUUUGAUUUAGCAUUUAAUAGUAUUUUUCAUUAUUUGACAGAUUUGGUGGUGGUUUGGGGCAUCUUUAGCAUGUUUUCAGCAUUUUGAUUGUUUUCUUCUUUGACAUUUGCUGUCAUUUUUGAGGAAUUUACCUGUGGAUUUGCAACUUCUUUAUAUUGUUUUGGUGGGGUUUUGGUAUUGGUUUUUUUUCAUUUUUUAUGUGUUACUUUUACCAUUUCAGGGUAUAUUUCAUCAAUCUCGGCUAUUUUUUGUCAGUUUUUUUUACCUGCCAUGUCUUUGCCAUCUUGGCAGUGCAGAUGAUAAUUAUUUGGGGGACAGUGCUGAAGGCCCUUGUGAGGCAGCACUGUGGGGCCACUUCUCUGGGACUGGCCAACACCCCUUCUGCAGUUCAGCCUUUGGAGAGAGGAACUAAAACCAAUUGUCAUUCAAAUCACCACACUGUUACCAUUGUGACUGAGAAGGGAAUUACUGGCAAACCAUUGUUUGAACCCUAUAAAACCUGCUAA
rnacentral:lncRNA from 1 species